rnacentral:rRNA from 1 species
GACGAACGCUGGCGGCGUGCUUAACACAUGCAAGUCGAGCGGUAAGGCCCUUUCGGGGGUACGACGAGCGGCGAACGGGUGAGUAACACGUGGGUGACCUGCCCUCAGCUCUGGGAUAAGCCUGGGAAACCGGGUCUAAUACCGGAUAUGACUCCAUGACGCAUGUUGUGGGGGUGGAAAGCCUUGUGCGGCUGAGGAUGGGCCCGCGGCCUAUCAGCUUGUUGGUGGGGUGAUGGCCUACCAAGGCGACGACGGGUAGCCGGCCUGAGAGGGCGACCGGCCACAC